rnacentral:lncRNA from 1 species
AUUUAGAGGGACUCUCUAACCUGAGUACACAUUUGAAACAUCUGAGGGCUUUGAAACAUACCUGCUCCUGGACCACCUGCUGAACCAAUUAAAUCAGAAUUUCUGUUGUGAAGAUCUCCACGUGAGUUUAAGCUUUCCUGCUCAACUGUUAGUUCCAUGAAGGCAACAGCCAUGCCUGCUUCGUUCACUGAAAUAUCUUCGUUUCCUAACACACAGAAAGUCAUCAUUUUUUGACGGAUGAAAGAAUGGAUGAAUGCCUAGUCUUGGAGACAUCUACUUGCAAUAAAGGUUAGAUGAAGGAAAUGGAUGCCAGUGGGAGAUUUGUGGAUCUAUUUCACCAGAUUUCACUCUGCUGACUCAGCAAAAUGGUCCCCGAAGAAAGUGAAGAAACAGAGGCAAAGGGAGCAUAAGCAAUUUUCCAAAGGCCAUACAACAUGUAAGUGGCUGAGCCAAGACUGAAAUCACCAGGUUCUUAACCACUAGGCCAUAUUGCAUUGGAGUGUUGCCUCCUGGAGUAAGACUAGGCUAAAAGCUUCAUAGAAACCUAAAGGAGUUAGAGAAGGAAGAUCUCUCAAUGGAAAUGCUAAGAAGAGACACAAGGAAAGACACAUCACUAAGGAGAGACCCAAGGAAAAUGGCUCUAUGACUACAGUCCAUUUAAAGAAUGAGGGCGUUCCUUCUACCAAGUUACAGGUGGAGAUGUGUUUACCUGCUGGAUACCAAUGCUUCUAGCAUCAGGGAGAAGUUGAGCCCUGGAGGAAACAUUGCCUCUAAGUUUGUGUUCUGAUGGAGAUGAUGACUACUUCACAGGCACUUUGCAAGGUCUGAUGACAUUGACAAUACAUUGGACAAAGAGCAAAGGAAGAGGAGUCUGCAAAACAACAACAACAACAACAGAAAAAAACAAAAUAAAACAAAGGGUCAUCGGAAGAGUAACAGGAGAAAGAAGAGUUAAUGUGUGGUGGAAUCCUUGGGAAAGCAUGAGUCAAGAAGUAUAGUAUACACAAUUCAGAUAACCAAGGGGUUACUUCCAAAAGGAUGAAUGUAUUUGUAGGCAAGGCGCAUGGAAAUAAGGUAUAGCUUGCAUAAAAAUCCAGAGUUUUGGUAAUAAAAUCUUUCUGCUGAGUUUUAA